GACGGAGGCUGCAAGCGUUAUCCGGAAUGAUUGGGCGUAAAGCGUCCGCAGGCGGCAGUUCAAGUCUGCUGUUAAAGUCCGGGGCUUAACUUCGGAAAGGCAGUGGAAACUGAACAGCUAGAGUAUGGUAGGGGCAGAGGGAAUUCCUGGUGUAGCGGUGAAAUGCGUAGAUAUCAGGAAGAACAUCAGUGGCGAAGGCACGCUGCUGGACCAUAUCUGACGCUCAGGGACGAAAGCGAGGGUAGCGAAUGGG
rnacentral:rRNA from 1 species